rnacentral:rRNA from 1 species
GACGAACGCUGGCGGCGUGCUUAACACAUGCAAGUCGAACGGAAAGGCUCCAGCUUGCUGGAGUACUCGAGUGGCGAACGGGUGAGUAACACGUGGGUAAUCUGCCCUGCACUCUGGGAUAAGCCUGGGAAACUGGGUCUAAUACUGGAUAUGACCUUUCUCCUUAUGGGGUUUGGUGGAAAGUUUUUCGGUGUAGGAUGAGCCCGCGGCCUAUCAGCUUGUUGGUGGGGUGAUGGCCUACCAAGGCGACGACGGGUAGCCGGCCUGAGAGGGUGAUCGGCCACAUUGGGACUGAGAUACGGCCCAGACUCCUACGGGAGGCAGCAGUGGGGAAUAUUGCACAAUGGGCGGAAGCCUGAUGCAGCGACGCCGCGUGAGGGAUGACGGCCGUCGGGUUGUAAACCUCUUUCAGCAGGGACGAAGCGUAAGUGACGGUACCUGCAGAAGAAGCACCGGCUAACUAUGUG